rnacentral:rRNA from 1 species
GAUGAACGCUGGCGGCGUGCCUAAUACAUGCAAGUCGAGCGAACAGACGAGGAGCUUGCUCCUCUGACGUUAGCGGCGGACGGGUGAGUAACACGUGGAUAACCUACCUAUAAGACUGGGAUAACUUCGGGAAACCGGAGCUAAUACCGGAUAAUAUAUUGAACCGCAUGGUUCAAUAGUGAAAGACGGUUUUGCUGUCACUUAUAGAUGGAUCCGCGCCGCAUUAGCUAGUUGGUAAGGUAACGGCUUACCAAGGCAACGAUGCGUAGCCGACCUGAGAGGGUGAUCGGCCACACUGGAACUGAGACACGGUCCAGACACCUACGGGAGGCAGCAGUAGGGAAUCUUCCGCAAAGGGCGAAAGCUUGACGGAGCAACGCCGCGUGAGUGAUGAAGGUCUUCGGAUCGUAAAACUCUGUUAUUAGGGAAGAACAAAUGUGUAAGUAACUAUGCACGUCUUGACGGUACCUAAUCAGAAAGCCACGGCUAACUACGUG